GAGUUUGUGGUCCGUAUUAGAUUGCACAACGAGAUUUUUUCUUUGUCCCUUUCGUCUUGCUUUAUGAGAAUUUCGCUUCUAUAUAUUGCAUUCUUUUUUCUUUCAGUUCCAACUGAUUAUGCUGAUUUAACCAAGAACACUGGCUUUUGGGCUUCUAGAUUCAUCAUUUCCUUCUCCCAUCACCACCGGUCUAAUAAAGAUAAAAGGUCCAACCUCGGAGGGUCGGUCUGCAUCAUCUACCCGACCUCUUUAAGGAGAUCGGACGUUGUAUAGGGAGCUUAGCUCUACUUGUUCAAACAAGUAACAGAUAAAGGGAACGGUCAUCCAUCAAUAAAGGUAUCAUCUCCUACCUCCUCACGAGGAACUCGGAUAGGCGAUACCUCAACAUCAACAAGUCAGAUGCUGUCAUAUAAAGGGAUCUGGACCUCACGUUCAAGCCCAAAUCAACAUUUCAGAGAACUGUUAUGUCUGACAAAGAGAAACGUUGAUGAUUGAUCUGUGUAUUAAUUUUUUUGGGACUAAAAUGUCCGCUUUUAAAAUCUUUGGAGACUGAUCUGGGUAAUUAUUCUGCCAGAAAAUAAAAUAGAGGCUGAUUUGUCUGUUGAAAUAAAAUCUUAGGGAUUGAUCUGUGUAUUAAUUUUUUUUGGAGACUAAAAUGUCUGCUUUUAAAAUUCUUGGGAACUGAUUUGGGUAAUUACUCUUAUUAUUAUUAGCUUAGCUUUGUGCAUGUAGAUGAUGACACCAACAUAUUAAUACACUUUUUUCGUUAAAAACAAGAAAAGUGAAUAAUGAU